AUACUCCUGGAGCACUAGUGCA
rnacentral:misc_RNA from 1 species